UGGAAGGGGCAUGCAGAGGAGCACGAGGCUUGGCUAAAAGCCGACCUGUGCUAUGCUACCCCUCGCUGGCUCUCCUGUGCCUGCCUCUUCCA
rnacentral:pre_miRNA from 1 species